CACAACCUCACAGCUAUGUUGAAACCCUGUGGAUUUUAUGUUAUUGUUCAGCUGUCUUUGGCAGCAGGAAUGAAUGCCGACUGGAGUGUUCAGUGGAAUCCAUUCAGCUCUGAUGUCGGAAACAGGGCAUAUCUUCAGAUCAUUCCACAUUCUGGCCCUGGGCCAGAUGGAAAGUGGCCAAAUGAUCCUCACAGAGUCACCAAGUCUGAAGAAAUGAGUGCAGUCAAUACUACUGUGGA